AUCCCAGAUAAAGUUUACUUGUGUUUAUCUGAUUCAUGGGAGGCAGAUAUUAACAAUGGAAGUUUCGCUGAUGGCACCUUUUUUAUUUCCUAGAAGGUGUUCUAAUAGUAGCUUUCCAUAAAUAA
rnacentral:snoRNA from 1 species